UGGAGCAAAUCCCUAAAAGACCGUCUCAGUUCGGAUUGCAGGCUGCAACUCGCCUGCAUGAAGCUGGAAUUGCUAGUAAUCGCGGAUCAGCAUGCCGCGGUGAAUACGUUCCCGGGCCUUGUACACACCGCCCGUCACACCAUGAGAGUCGGGAACACCCGAAGUCCGUAGUCUAACCGCAAGGAGGCGCGGCCGAAGGUGGGUCCGGUAAUUGGGUGAAGUCGUAACAAGGUAAC
rnacentral:rRNA from 1 species